UUUGGUGGCGAUGCGAUUUUGGGAAACACCCGUUCCCAUACCGAACACGUAGGUUAAGCUAAAGUCGGCUGAUGGUACUUGUCUGGAGACGGACUGGGAGAGUAAGUGGCUGCCAAAA
rfam:Epulopiscium sp. Nuni2H_MBin001 Nuni2HMBin001_55, whole genome shotgun sequence.